CGCACCUUGCGCUCCUUGGUAUUCCGAGGAGCAUGCCUGUUUGAGUGUCAUGGUAUUCUCAACCUUCAAAGCUUUUGCAAUGGAGGCUUGGAUUUGGAGGCUGUGUUGGCGCAAGUCAACUCCUCUUAAAUGCAUUAGUGUGAACCUUACGGAUCGCCUUCAGUGUGAUAAUUGUCUACGCUGUGGUGUUGAAGUAUAUUCGAGUUUAUGCUUCUAAUCGUCCGCAUGGACAACUUUCUUUGACAAUCUGACCUCAAAUCAGGUAGGACUACCCGCUGAACUUAA
rnacentral:misc_RNA from 1 species